GGCGCCGGUCGGGUAGGGUCGGGCUGGCGGGAGCCCGGGGCGGGGCUUGGGCAUGGCUGGCUGCAGGUCCCCAGCCCUGCCACACGGGGAGGCGGCUGAGGCCCAGCAAGAAUUCAAGCUCCGCGGGGGCAGGCCAGCAGUGCUGGGGGACCCGGCGCACCCUCCGCAGCUGCUGGCCCGGGUGCUAAACCCCUCACUGCCCGGGCCGGCGGUGCCGGCGGGCUGCUCUCAGUGCGGGACCUCGGAGCCUGCGCCCACCCGGAACUAGCCGCGUUCAGCCCUGGUUCCCGCCCCCGCCUCUCCCGCCACACCUCUCCACAAGCAGAGGGAGCUGGCUUCAGCCUCAGCCAGCACAGAGAGGGGCCCCCAUAGCGCAGUGGCGGGCUGAAGGGCUCCUUGAGCAUGGCCAGAGUGGACGCCAAGGCUGAGGAGGCGCCGAGAGCCAGUGAGGGCUGCUAGCAUGUUGUCACCUCUCAAUACAUGCGGAGUUUCGCUCUUGUUGCCCAGGCUGGAAUGCAAUGGCGUGAUCUCGGCUCACCGCAACCUCUGCCUCCCAGAAAACUACUGGAGGGUGGUUCCAAGAUGGCCAAAUAGGAACAGCUCCAGUCUACAGCUCCCAGCAUGAGUGAUGCAGAAGACGAAUGAUUUCUGCAUUUCCAACUCAGGUACUGGGUUCAUCUUAUUGGGGAUUGUCAGACAGUGGGUGCAGGACAGUGGGUGCAGCGCACCGAGCGUGAGCCGAAGUAGGGCAAGGCAUCACCUCACCCAGGAAGCGCAAGGGGUCAGGGAAUUCCCUUUCCUAGCCAAGGAAAGGGGUGACAGAUGGCACCUGGAAAAUCGGGUCACUCCCACCCUAAUACUGCGCUUUUCUGAUGGUCAUAGCAAAUGGCACACCAGGAGAUUAUAUCCCGUGCCUGGCUCGGAGGGUCCUACGCCCACGGACCCUUGCUCAUUGCUAGCACAGCAGUCUGAGAUCAAAUUGAAAGGCAGCAGCCAGGCUGGGGGAGGGGCAUCUGCCAUUGCUGAGGCGUGAGUAGGUAAACAAACCUGCCGGGAAGCUCAAACUGGGUGGAGCCCACCGCAUCUCAAGGAGGCCUGCCUGCCUCUGUAGACUCCACCUCUGGGGGCAGGGCAUAGCCAAACAAAAGGCAGCAGAAACCUCUGCAGACUUAAAUGUCCCUGCCUGACAGCUUGGAAGACAGCAGUGGUUCUCCCAGCAUGCAGCUGGAGAUCUGAGAAUGGACAGAGUGCCUCCUCAAGUGGGUCCCUGACCCCUGGGUAGCCUAACUGGGAGGCAUCCCCCAGUAGGGGCAGACUGACACCUCACACGGCCGGGUACUCCUCUGAGACAAAACUUCCAGAGGAACGAUCAGGCAGCAGCAUUUGCUGUUCACCAAUAUUCGCUGUUCUGCAGCCUCAACUGCUGAUAUCCAGGCAAACAGGGUCUGGAGUGGACCUCCGGCAAACUCCAACAGACCUGCAGCUGAGGGUCCUGUCUGUUAGAAGGAAAACUAACAAACAGAAAGGACAUCCACCCCAAAAACCCAUCUGUACGUCACCAUCAUCGAAGAACAAAGGUAGAUAAAACCACAAAGAUGGGAAAAAAACAGAGCAGAAAAACUGGAAACUCUAAAAAUCAGAGCGCCUCUCCUCCUCCAAAGGAAUGCAACUCUUCACCAGCAACGGAACAAAGCUGGACGGAGAAUGACUUUGACGAGUUGAGAAAAGAAGGCUUCAGAUGAUCAAACUACUCCGAGCUACAGGAGGAA
rnacentral:lncRNA from 1 species